GGCAAGAUGGCCGAGCGGUCUAAGGCGCUAGGGUCAGGUCUAUCUGAUCAUACAUGUUCUCAAGAACAUUCCUAGUCAUUAAUUUGGCGUGGGUUCGAAUCCCACUCUUGUCA